rnacentral:rRNA from 1 species
CCUACGGGAGGCAGCAGUGAGGAAUAUUGGUCAAUGGACGAGAGGCUGAACCAGCCAAGUAGCGUGAAGGAUGACUGCCCUAUGGGUUGUAAACUUCUUUUAUAUGGGAAUAAAAUGUUCCACGUGUGGGGUUUUGUAUGUACCAUAUGAAUAAGGAUCGGCUAACUCCGUGCCAGCAGCCGCGGUAAUACGGAGGAUACGAGCGUUAUCCGGAUUUAUUGGGUUUAAAGGGAGCGUAGAUGGGUUGUUAAGUCAGUUGUGAAAGUUUGCGGCUCAACCGUAAAAUUGCAAUUGAUACUGGCGGUCGUGAGUACAGUUGAGGUAGGCGGAAUUCGUGGUGUAGCGGUGAAAUGCUUAGAUAUCACGAAGAACUCCGAUUGCGAAGGCAGCUUACUAAACUGCCACUGACAUUGAUGCUCGAAAGUGUGGGUAUCAAACAGGAUUAGAUACCCGGGUAGUC